GGCAUGAGGAUGUGGCCCUUAUGACGCAAUUAGAGCCCUUAUAAGGCGAGACACCAGAGAGCUUGCUUUUUCUCUCUCCACUACGUGAGCGCACAGCGAGAAGACGGCCUACACCAGAACACAGCCAUGCUGGCACCCUGAUCUUGAACUUCCAGCCUCCAGAACUGUGAGGAGUAAGCCUCUGCCGUUUAAGCCACCCAUCUGUGGUAUUUCAUUAUGGCAACCUGAGCUGACUAAGACAGGGUCAUCCAGAAUGACUAAAUAGCAAAUAAAAACAUUAUGACAAGGCAAGAGUGAGACCUCGGAAGAAAGUACCCCAGCAGAUAUGAAAAGAGGGUUAAGAAGUUCAAGAAGAAGAAAAAGAGAAGGGACAGAGAAAUUCUCCUCACACAUUUAUACAAGGGGUUCUGGACCCUCCAUCCACUUCUCCUACCACGUGUGAGAUGGGAACCUCAGAGAAAAUGAGUUCAUUUUCUCAUGUUUACAGACACAGCGAUGAACUCAAAGAACAAUCCUGUGAGACUUUUCAGAAUAAAAACAUGACAUGAAUAGAGAAUAAAGAUCUACAGCUUCUUACAGUGACUGAGAGUGGAAUGGUUGUCAGAAAUCCAAAGUUUGUGACGGAUGAUCCAGCUCCAAGAGCCUGCACACGGGAAGUAGUACAUUUGGAACAUUAAGAAUCCAUUAAGGGCUGCCUCCCAUGUCAGAACAAGAAGACAGUUAUCCUAAAGUGUGCUGUGGCCGCAUUAGCUCGCGCUCUCCCUCCUCCUAAGAACUGUGCACCCUUUCCUGGCCUAGGGCUCCCACAUCGAGCCUGAAUUCCAGUAUCCUUUGCAAAGUGCUCUCACCAACAUCUUAUCUGCACUGCACAACAGUCCUUCAAAGAAAAUUGGAUAUCUUCAGCCUCAUUUUGUAAGUUUGAAAGCUGAGGCUUAAAUCACACAGCCUUCAAGUGUCAGAACCUGGUCUUGAAAUUUUCUGACGUCAAAUCCAGCGCUCUUCCCCUACCUGCUCCUUGCCUCCACCCCAUAAUAGGGCUUCAUCCAUAGAGUCAGUCCCGUGUAUUAUCACAAUGGAUUGUUCACGACGAUCCGAAGGAUUGGGGGAAGAUGGUCUUGCCAUCGCUGCUCCCCUCAGCCGCCCACUUAUAGACACUGAGAGGCACGGUUCUUCUGCCAAGAACUGUCUCUGGCGCAUCUAACACAAGAAAAUCUUUGAUCCAAAUUUCAGACUCUAAACUCCUUGAUUUUUCCCUGUGAUGUGGCCUUUAGCUUUGGGCGAGGGGAGAGUCACUUCUUGGAGACCCCCACCGUGCCUGAGCUGGGAGAGGGAGGAAGGGGGUGUCUGUCUGCUCCUGUGAGAACGAACUGAGCUGAGCCAUCUGGAUUCCCUGAGCCUCAGACAACGGGGGAAGUGGCGCUUCCCCUCGCAGGGUUGCUGGCUGUGAUGAGGUCUGGUUGAGCCACAUGGUGACUGGCCCACAGGAUGCUGUCUACACAGCCCUUUUCCUCGCUCCCUCGCAGAUUCUGCCUGCACCCAACGGUGCUUGAAUUGCAGUUCUCACACCCGCCUCGUCCCCACAUGGGCCUCCUGUGGCUGCCCUCCUUGUUGGAGGGACUGGUGGGGAGGAUUAGAUCGCCACCUAUGACAGAACCUGUUCCCCUCUGCCCUCAACCAUGUUGUCAGCUCAGCAGGUUUGCUCUGUGAAUCUGCGGCCAGCCCUCACCACUGGGGCCCCUGCCCACACGCCCUUUCUGGCGGCUGUCUUUGCAGUGUACCCACCCACACUUCCUGGGGCCGC
ensembl:lncRNA